UCGGGUAUGGUGUAGCGGUAACAUCGCUGACUCUCAUGGUCUUUGAUCUUGAAGUGUCUCAGCAGCCCGGGGUUCGACUCCCCGUAUCCGAG